rnacentral:rRNA from 1 species
ACAAUGGAGAGUUUGAUCCUGGCUCAGGACGAACGCUGGCGGCGUGCUUAACACAUGCAAGUCAAGGAGAACAUUUUCUUCGGAAAACUAUUAAACUGGCGAACGGGUGAGUAACGCGUAGGUAAUCUACCCUGGAGAUUGGGAUAACCCCGGGAAACCGGAGCUAAUACCGAAUAAUGCAGCGGAUCCUUCGGGAUAUGUUGUUAAAGCGGGCUUUUGCUCGCACUUUAGGAUGAGCCUGCGUCCGAUUAGCUUGUUGGUGGGGUA